GAGUUUGAUCAUGGCUCAGGAUGAACGCUGGCGGCGUGCUUAACACAUGCAAGUCGAACGAACCUUCGGGUUAGUGGCGGACGGGUGAGUAACGCGUGAGAAUCUGCCCUCAGGAGGGGGAUAACGGCUGGAAACGGCCGCUAAUACCCCAUAUGCCGCGAGGUGAAAUGAAUUUCGCCUGAGGAUGAGCUCGCGUCUGAUUAGCUAGUUGGUGUAGGUAAUGGCUCACCAAGGCAUCGAUCAGUAGCUGGUCUGAGAGGAUGAUCAGCCACACUGGGACUGAGACACGGCCCAGACUCCUACGGGAGGCAGCAGUGGGGAAUUUUCCGCAAUGGGCGCAAGCCUGACGGAGCAACGCCGCGUGAGGGAUGAAGGCCUCUGGGCUGUAAACCUCUUUUAUCAAGGAAGAAGAUCUGACGGUACUUGAUGAAUAAGCCACGGCUAAUUCCGUGCCAGCAGCCGCGGUAAUACGGGAGUGGCAAGCGUUAUCCGGAAUUAUUGGGCGUAAAGCGUCCGCAGGCGGCCCUUCAAGUCUGCUGUUAAAACGUGGAGCUUAACUCCAUCAUGGCAGUGGAAACUGUUGGGCUUGAGUGUGGUAGGGGCAGAGGGAAUUCCCGGUGUAGCGGUGAAAUGCGUAGAUAUCGGGAAGAACACCAGUGGCGAAGGCGCUCUGCUGGGCCAUCACUGACGCUCAUGGACGAAAGCCAGGGGAGCGAAAGGGAUUAGAUACCCCUGUAGUCCUGGCCGUAAACGAUGAACACUAGGUGUCGGGGGAAUCGACCCCUUCGGUGUCGUAGCCAACGCGUUAAGUGUUCCGCCUGGGGAGUACGCACGCAAGUGUGAAACUCAAAGGAAUUGACGGGGGCCCGCACAAGCGGUGGAGUAUGUGGUUUAAUUCGAUGCAACGCGAAGAACCUUACCAGGGUUUGACAUCCUGCGAAUCUCUUGGAAACGAGAGAGUGCCUUCGGGAGCGCAGUGACAGGUGGUGCAUGGCUGUCGUCAGCUCGUGUCGUGAGAUGUUGGGUUAAGUCCCGCAACGAGCGCAACCCACGUCUUUAGUUGCCAGCAUUUAGUUGGGCACUCUAGAGAGACCGCCGGUGAUAAACCGGAGGAAGGUGUGGAUGACGUCAAGUCAUCAUGCCCCUUACAUCCUGGGCUACACACGUACUACAAUGCUACGGACAAAGGGCAGCAAGUUCGCGAGGACAGGCAAAUCCCAUAAACCGUGGCUCAGUUCAGAUCGUAGGCUGCAACUCGCCUACGUGAAGGAGGAAUCGCUAGUAAUCGCAGGUCAGCAUACUGCGGUGAAUACGUUCCCGGGCCUUGUACACACCGCCCGUCACACCAUGGAAGUUAGCCACGCCCGAAGCCGUUACUCCAACCCUUGUGGAGGAGGACGUCGAAGGUGGGGCUGAUGACUGGGGUGAAGUCGUAACUAAGGUAACC
rnacentral:rRNA from 1 species